GACGAACGCUGGCGGCGUGCUUAACACAUGCAAGUCGAACGGAAAGGCCCUUUCGGGGGUACUCGAGUGGCGAACGGGUGAGUAACACGUGGGUGAUCUGCCCUGCACUUUGGGAUAAGCCUGGGAAACUGGGUCUAAUACCGGAUAGGACUACGCGAUGCAUGUCGUGUGGUGGAAAGCUUUUGCGGUGUGGGAUGGGCCCGCGGCCUAUCAGCUUGUUGGUGGGGUGAUGGCCUACCAAGGCGACGACGGGUAGCCGGCCUGAGAGGGUGGCCGGCCACACUGGGACUGAGAUACGGCCCAGACUCCUACGGGAGGCAGCGGUGGGGAAUAUUGCACAAUGGGCGCAAGCCUGAUGCAGCGACGCCGCGUGAGGGAUGACGGCCUUCGGGUUGUAAACCUCUUUCAGUGCCGACGAAGCGCAAGUGACGGUAGGCAUAGAAGAAGGACCGGCCAACUACGUGCCAGCCGCCGCAGUAACAC
rnacentral:rRNA from 1 species